rnacentral:rRNA from 1 species
AGAGUUUGAUCCUGGCUCAGAGCGAACGCUGGCGGCAGGCUUAACACAUGCAAGUCGAACGGACGUAGCAAUACGUUAGUGGCAGACGGGUGAGUAACACGUGGGAACGUUCCCCUUGGUUCGGAAUAACUCAGCGAAAGCUGUGCUAAUACCGGAUAAGUCCGAGAGGAGAAAGAUUUAUCGCCGAGGGAUCGGCCCGCGUCUGAUUAGCUAGUUGGUGAGGUAACGGCUCACCAAGGCGACGAUCAGUAGCUGGUCUGAGAGGAUGAUCAGCCACACUGGGACUGAGACACGGCCCAGACUCCUACGGGAGGCAGCAGUGGGGAAUAUUGGACAAUGGGCGCAAGCCUGAUCCAGCCAUGCCGCGUGAGUGAUGAAGGCCUUAGGGUUGUAAAGCUCUUUUAUCCGGGAAGAUAAUGACUGUACCGGAAGAAUAAGCCCCGGCUAACUUCGUGCCAGCAGCCGCGGUAAUACGAAGGGGGCUAGCGUUGCUCGGAAUCACUGGGCGUAAAGGGCGCGUAGGCGGAUGAUUAAGUCGGGGGUGAAAGCCCAGGG